rnacentral:rRNA from 1 species
GAUGAACGCUGGCGGCGUGCUUAACACAUGCAAGUCGAACGGUGAAGCUGGAGCUUGCUCCUGUGGAUCAGUGGCGAACGGGUGAGUAACACGUGAGCAAUCUGCCCCGAACUCUGGGAUAAGCGCUGGAAACGGCGUCUAAUACCGGAUACGACGCGCGACGGCAUCGUCUGCGCGUGGAAAGAACUGCGGUUCGGGAUGAGCUCGCGGCCUAUCAGCUUGUUGGUGAGGUAAUGGCUCACCAAGGCGACGACGGGUAGCCGGCCUGAGAGGGGGACCGGCCACACGGGGACUGAGGCACGGGCCAGACUCCUACGGGAGGCAACAGUGGGGAAUAUUGCACAAUGGGCGCAAGCCUGAUGCAGCAACGCCGCGUGAGGGACGACGGCCUUCGGGUUGUAAACCUCUUUUAGUAGGGAAGAAGCGAAAGUGACGGUACCUGCAGAAAAAGCACCGGCUAACUACGUGCCAGCAGCCGCAGUAACAC